rnacentral:rRNA from 1 species
CCUANGGGGGGCAGCAGUCGAGAGGCUUCCACAAUGGGGGAAACCCUGAUGGAGCGACGCCGCGUGGGUGAUGAAGGUCUUCGGAUCGUAAAGCCCUUUCAGCAGGGAAGAGAGUGUUGGAUGAUAAUACCAUCUGGUGCACGACGGUACCUGCAGAAGAAGCUCCGGCUAACUCCGUGCCAGCAGCCGCGGUAAGACGGGGGGAGCAAGCGUUGUUCGGAUUUACUGGGCGUAAAGGGCGUCUAGGCGGGUUCGUAAGUCAUGUGUGAAACCCCCCGGCUCAACCGGGGAUCUGCACGUGAUACUGCGGAUCUUGAGUAUGGAAGAGGAAAGCGGAAUUCCAGGUGUAGCGGUGAAAUGCGUAGAUAUCUGGAAGAACACCGGUGGCGAAGGCGGCUUUCUGGUCCAUUACUGACGCUGAAGCGCGAAAGUGUGGGGAGCAAACAGGAUUAGAUACCCCGNUANUC